GAUGAAGAACGUAGCGAAAUGCGAUAAGUAGUGUGAAUUGCAGAAUUCAGUGAAUCAUCGAAUCUUUGAACGCACAUUGCGCCCUUUGGUAUUCCAAAGGGCAUGCCUGUUCGAGCGUCAUUUGUACCCUCAAGCUUUGCUUGGUGUUGGUCGUCUUGUCUCUAGCUUUGCUGGAGACUCGCCUUAAAGUAAUUGGCAGCCGGCCUACUGGUUUCGGAGCGCAGCACAAGUCGCACUCUCUAUCAGCAAAGGUCUAGCAUCCAUUAAGCCUUUUUUUCAACUUUUGACCUCGGAUCAGGUAGGGAUACCCGCUGAACUUAAGCAUAUCAAUAAGCGGAGGA
rnacentral:misc_RNA from 1 species